UCGACUUCUCAUUCACACACAGAGAGAGACAGAGGAGGGGAGAGAACCGGUGCUGCGUUCUCUGGUCGCCAUUCAGUUGGAACGAUUCUGAAGUUUCUUCUCUUGGAACCGUUUGUUGUUCCUGUCGCUUCUUCUGGUGCUGCUCCGGCUCCGGCUCCGGCUCCGGCUCCGGCUCUGCUCCAUCUCCAUGGGAGAAAGACAAAGGAGGGGAAACAACUCAGACCCACGAUAUCGUUCAUCUUCUUCGGGUUGGAUCUUCAUCUGAGAGAAUCGAAAGAAUCCCAUUCCCAUGUUUGUUCGUGGGUCUGCGUGAGUGCUCUGUUGGGAUCAACAAACCUUACCAUCGGUCAUCCUCUUCCCAUAACUUGAGGUUCCUCUCUGAAUCUCCAGUGGACCAAUUUAUUGUGAACGGUAGCUGCAGAAAUUUGACUCUAAUUCCCAUUCAUCAGUGGAAGGGAAAACUUUCAGCUCAUAGAAGGCCACUUACAGAUAAGGCGGCAUAUAGGUCUUACUUUACUCCAUACCUAUUGAUUUUUUCUGGAUGCUGCUGUUGUUAACCUUUUUUUUGUUGUGUGGUUUCCCUGAGUAGUUCAAUUUUUGUUUUUUAGUGUCUUAAUGUGAUUUGCAAUUCAAGUUUGAGGCUGAUGUUGAUGUGUAUUGGUUCCUAAAACAUAUGGUCACAAUAUUGAAGGUUGAGUUUUG